rnacentral:rRNA from 1 species
UCGAGAAUCUUCCGCAAUGGACGAAAGUCUGACGGAGCGACGCCGCGUGAUGGAUGAAGUCCCUUUGGGACGUAAACAUCUUUUAUGAGGGAAGAAGUUAUUGACGGUACCUCAGGAAUAAGGGGCUCCUAAUCUCGUGCCAGCAGGAGCGGUAAUACGAGAGCCCCGAGCGUUAUCCGGAAUUACUGGGCGUAAAGGGUGCGUAGGUUGCGUUGCUAGUCUCGCGUCAAAGCCCCGAGCUUAACUUGGGAAGGGCGCUGGAAACGGCAAUGCUAGAGAGUGUGAGAGGCAUGCGGAACUCAUGGUGUAGGGAUGAAAUCCGUUGAUAUCAUGGGGAACACCAAAAGCGAAGGCAGCAUGCUGGCGCAUUUCUGACACUGAAGCACGAAAGCGUGGGUAG